UCUGAGACAGUCAUGGCUCACUCUCUUGACAGCUGUUUGACAUUACGGGUAAUGCUGCGUUCAACGGAUGGAGAGGGACUGUGAAUUCCUGGAGGAAGACUCAGGAGUCGGGACAGUGCAUGCAGCCAUGUGAAAACCAAUGAGAUGUUACCAUCCACAAAAUUUUCUCUGCCUGCCUGUAGUGAGCGCAAUGAAGGAUUUCAAGUGUUUCCUCACUUUGUGCGCCAUCCAGAGAUCUUUCAGACCAUUCCCUUCAAUCAUCCUAUAAUCAAACCUCUGAGAAAAAGUCAGGCCAAGAUAAGCCCUUCACUCAGCGUUGCCGUUUGUAUUAAUCACUUUCUUCACAUGGGUGAAACUGCUUACCCACCAGCUGAAAUGAAAAGGAUGGCUAUGAUUUCACAUGAGUGCUACAGGUUAAUACGAGAAAAGAAACUUUAAAGAAUACUUCCCAGUGCCACAAAUCAGCUCGCAACAACUAAGUCCCUGGAGCCAGAAUUCCUGACUCUCCUCAAAGAGGGCCAACAGAAACAGAGGAGGCAAGACAGCAAGGCCACUUGUGAGAAGAGUGACAUGCAUACCACCAUGUUACAAUCUGAUUCUUUUGGCAUGCCUCAACAGCAUCAGUGUACCAUGUGUUAUCUCCUCGCCUCACAAACAGUUAUUGUGUUUUAUAGAACGUGCCAUCUGGACGGGCACAGAGACCUAAGAGAAAAAACGAAUAUGCCCCUGCCAAAAUAAAUACCACACACACACAGACACAUGGUCUGGACAUGCAUUGAGCUGAAUAGGAUGGAGCAGAGGUGCCACUACAACAAGGGCAGGGCAUUGGGGGACCCAAGCUGGAGAGCAAAGCAUGUGAAACAUUCAGAGUCUGAUUUCCCCAACACCCUCACAAAGCAUUACCUCUGACCACCUAGAAAGAAAGCAAAUGGGACGCAUUAGCGGCGGAAAACUGAGCGGCUUGUUCAUAAUUCAAUAAAAUGGAUGGAUUUGAUUAUUCCCUUCCAAAAAAGAGGGAAAAGCAAGUUUUUCUUCAAGCCAAGUAUUAAUCACACUGUCAGAAGUCCUUAUUCGUUGUCGGCAUUUCGUGUGGUUAAAACUAUGGAAGCUCAUUUCUGGUACAGUGUGAAAA